GCCAGUGUGGUAUAGUGGUUUCAGCAUUGGCCUAUGACUCUAGAGACCAGUGUUCAAAUCUCUGCUUGGCU